GGCGCGGUGGCUGAGCGGUAAAGUGCUUGUCUUCUGAACGGGUGGUCCCGGGUUCAAAUCCUGGUGGAGACU
rnacentral:tRNA from 1 species